UUCGUUUUGAAAGUUCGGUGAGAGUAACUUUCAAAAUAAGUAACUUCAUAAGCUUAAAAGCAAGAGUAAGGGGCAUGUUUGGUGAAGCUUAAAAACACGUUUUCUGAUAGCAUCAUCUCACAUAUGCUAAAAAGAUCCUUUUAAGCACCCAUUUAAGCUUAGCCAAACAUGAUGUAGGUUGUCAUCAAAACUUGUUUGGAACAAAGUAACUUUUACCAAUAUUACCAAAAAUGGGAAGGACCAGUUGGUUUGAGAACUAGGAAUCGGUCUGGUUAGCCUUUAAAAACUGUACGAUAGAAUACCGAUUGCGAACCACUGAGCUAGCUUGGUUGAACAGGGACCCAUUGGUUUUCUCGGUUUCGCAAGGUCAAUUUUAAAAAAACCGUACGCAUUUUAUUUCUGCUCAAGUCAUCUCAUCACUUAGGGUGUAUAACUUCAUCUGAGCCACCUCACGAAUUUUCUCUUCCCUUUCCAAAUCAUUUUCUUGCCUUUUCUUCUUCAUUUCUAGUUUGAUUCUUUCGAAGCUCAACUUCUUCGAUGCUCGGAAAUCAUCACGUCUUCAGUUCUUUAAGUUUAUGUUGCUUCUUUCAUUUUCUCAUUUUCUUAUACAAAACUCACAAGCAUGGAAAGUUAUUGGGUGGGGGGCUUGGAAAAAUCUACUCGAGAGUUGUAUUGGAAUGGAAAGAAUUAAUUUCUCCCUAAUUGAGCAUUUUUAAUAUGAGCAGAAAUUAAAUGGAAUAAUUUGAUGAACAUGGUUCCAACAGAAUGGAUUACCUUUUCUGGUAUAAUAUGGUUUGAAGCUAACUAUAAUAAUUUAAUUUAAAGCAUAUUGUGAUUAUCUCAUUUUUUGCUAUGUUUAGUUUUCAUUUUUCUGUUCUGCUUAGUUAUCGUUAUUUUGUCCUGCUCAGUAUUAAAGUUACUUGCAUUUUGUAAUUGAAUUGAAUGGCAAAAUUUGUAUUACUUAUUUUAUUUGACUAUUUUGUGCUAAUUGUAUGCUUUGAGUUGUUGAUGCAGUUAUUUUUCAACAAUCAAUCUCGCAAGUAAUUCAAACUAAUGUUAUGAAAAUCAAUUAUAGCAUAUUUAUUUAAAUUUUUCUGGCAUGGUCUCUUUUGCAUGAGGUCUUUAGAAAUCCAUUUACUACCUGUUAAUAUUUGGUUUCUCUAUCCUUUUUCAACGCUUGACUUUCCUAAGCUCUUUGUCAAUGCACGACUAGUAUGCACCAUUUACUACAAUUGACGUGUCUUUUAUAUAUUAUAGCUCAUCUUAUCUUAAAGACUACAAAAUGCAGUUCUUAGGACUUAUUUAGCUUAAAAUAUUCAAUGAAAACAUGUAUAAGUUAGAAGCUUUUUUUAUCAUGUCAUUAAGAUCUAUCUCAUAUAAUAUACGUUUACAAGGCGUCGUAGCCAUAUCUUUCCAUGGUUUCUUAGCUUGAGUGAGACCGAUCAUUGUCAAGGAUAGCUUCUCUUUCAAGCAAACUCAAUGCACUUUAAAUACUCCAAACUAGUUUUGUUAUCAAAAUCUACUUGAAUCUUCGUAAAUAAUUUCACUAGAAUAACAUCUUAAUAUUGGAACCACACUACUAUCAUAUUUGGUUAAGCUUAAAAAAGGGGGAAAAAUAAUUUUAAAAAUCAGCCAAGGUAUCAACAAGGAAAAGAGAAACGACCAAGGUGUCAACCAGUAACGUUUUUUGCUUUUAGAUUACUAGUUUAGCCUAUUGACCAUUUUUUAUUUCCCUGGCUGAAGCUUUACCAUUUAUUAAAACAUUAUUAUUAUUAUUAUUAUUAUUAUUAUUAUUAUUAUUAUUAUUAUUAUUAUUUUUUUUUUACUAUUUCUUUGCUUGACCAAACAUUCUAGUAAUGCCCUUGCACUUUAGAUUGAUAUUAUAGUGAAAUAAUUUAUAGAAGUUCAAGUAGAUUUUGAUGACUAAAUUGGCUAGGAAUAUCUUUUCAAAGUUUAUUGGGUUUGCUUGAAAGAGAAAUUAUCGUUGAUAGUGAGUGAGCUCAAUCAAGUUAAGAAACUAUGGAUAGAUAUGACUAUAAUGACUCGUAAACGAUGAUUAAAUAAUGUAGAUUUUAAUGAGAUGGUAAAAAUGUUUCUAAAUCAUCCAUAUUUUUUGAAAAUUAUGAGCUGAAUAAGUCCCAAUAACUGUAUGGUUUAGUUAACAAGGAUUUUAAGCAUUGACAAAGACAUAAAGAUAAGUAAUAACAAAUAUAAAAAUGAGAUGGACCAUACAUAAUAGGCGAGUGGAUCAUUGACAAAGGUACACUGACCAGUCAAUGCAUUGAUAGAGGCUAAAAAAGCCAAGUGUUGAAAAAUGCUGGACACACCAGGCAGUGAAUGAGCACCUUGUGCAAGAGAUCAUCUUAGAAAAAUUUGGAUGAAUAUGUUGCAAUUGAUUUUCAUAAUGUUACCUCUAUUUUUUGUGACGUAAUUUGAUGGAGACCCUUAUCAAAGCUAAAGAGGAGUUCCAUGAUCUGGUUCUUGGCUCAUUUGUGUGGAUCAGAAGGAAGAUUUUGUAGGCUUGUCCAAGUUGUAGAUACGUACGUGCACAACUUUAUUAAAAGCAUCUUUAUCUUGUUAAUUCUUUCUUUUCUUUUUUAAUGAAUCUUAAAACAAAUUGUGCUAGUCAAACAUUUACUGAGUUAAUUCAAUUUUAAUAUCAGAUAAGGUGGCUGAGCCACAUGGAAUUGAUUGCAAGUCAGCAGAUAUCAUGCUUGAAGUUCCAAAGUUAAAAGAGUAGAAAGAGGCUCUAUCAAUUUAUGCUAGUACAGAUUAAGAAUUCUCCGAGGUGAUUGGAAUACAGAUUGAUCAACUUUUCUCUGAAUGUUGAAUUUAUUAUGUUUCUUGGAGUUCCUUAACGUUUUUCACAUGCAUUGAAUGUAUAGGAGAAAUUCAGCUUCUGAAGUUCGAAAACCAGCUGAGAAUUUGUGGAGUUCCAGAAUCCCAUGAUCAAAAUACAAACCCAAAUUAUGAAUCAGAAGAAGACACCAAACUUGGGAAUAACAGUAAGCAAGGUAAGACUACAUUUUUGGGUGGUUAUUUUGUCAGAUUUGUUCUUUAUUAAUUAGACAUUUGUUCUAUGCUUGUACUAAGGUAAAGAAGAGGGCUGAUCCACUCACAAAAUAAAAUUUGAUGAAAAAAUAGAAGCGAGUGGAUCACAUGGUUGGGAGAAUUAUGCAAAUCAAGAAAAUACUUGUAGCUCGGCAACUGGAGGGAUCCACCUCGUACGCUCGAGACAAGAAUCAAGGAUGCUACUCAUGCCAUAUGUAACUUUAACUUUUGUGCAAAGUCAGUUUAGUUCUAUAAGUCGAUUCAAAAGUUUAUGCAGUUCUCUCUGAAAAUGCAGUUUUAGUUCGAUGCUGCAGCAUUAUGUCGGAACUAACUUCGUGUACUAGUACAUUAGAACUGAAUUGUGAACGUGUACGAAUUAAUUUUUAGAAUUAUAGAAUACAUGAAAUUGUGUCUAACAGAGUAACUAAAUAUCAUACACACGAUAUAACAUGGUAAAUCUCUAAGGGAAACAUCAAUGGUCCUCAUGUCAUUAGUAAAUAAUCCACUAUAGAAAAGAUACA
rnacentral:lncRNA from 1 species